GGCUUGUCAGAUGGUAGUGGGUUAUCAGAACUUAUAUUCAUGUCACUAAAGUUGGCAUAUAAUCCCCUGUUGCUAAAUUUGACUGGCUUUAA
ensembl:Y_RNA Y_RNA Y RNA